GCCUGGUGAGGUGGUGCCCAACCUGUGGUCCUAGCUACUUGGGAGGCUUAGAUGGAAGGAUCACUUGCAUGGAGGAGUUCUGGGCUGCAGUGUGCUGUGCUGAUCAGGUAUCCACACUAAGUUUGGCAUCAACAUGGUAACUUCCCAGAGCAGGGGACCAGCAGGUUGCCUAAAGAGGGGUGAACCAGCCCACAUUAGAAACAGAGCAGGUCAAAACUCCUGUGCUGAUCAGUAUUUUACAUUUCAUUCUUAUCAGGACAGAAAAAAAAGUUAAAUAU
rnacentral:SRP_RNA from 1 species